AGCACCCGCGGUAAUUCCAGCUCCAAUAGCGUAUAUUAAAGUUGUUGCAGUUAAAAAGCUCGUAGUUGAAUUUCGGGAUCAAUAUGUCGGUCGUGCCUUCGGUACGUACGGGCAUCACUGGUUUCUCCCUUCUGACAAACCAUGAUGUCAUUAAUUCGGUGUUAUGGGGAGUUAGGACUGUUACUUUGAAAAAAUUAGAGUGUUUAAAGCAGGCAUUAGCUCGAAUACAUUAGCAUGGAAUAAUGAAAUAGGACGUUUGACCCUAUUUUGCUGGUUUCUAGGAUCGACGUAAUGAUUAAUAGGGAUAGUUGGGGGCAUUAGUAUUCAAUUGUCAGAGGUGAAAUUCUUGGAUUUAUUGAAGACUAAGUACUGCGAAAGCAUUUGCCAAGGAUGUUUUCAUUAAUCAAGAACGAAAGUUAGGGGAUCGAAGACGAUCAGAUACCGUCGUAGUCUUAACCAUAAACUAUGCCGACUAGGGAUCGGAAGAUGUUAAUUUUUUAAUGACUCA
rnacentral:rRNA from 1 species